rnacentral:rRNA from 1 species
CGCGUAGGCGGCCUGGCAAGUCGGGUGUGAAAUCCCUCGGCUCAACCGAGGAACUGCACUCGAUACUGCUGGGCUAGAGUCCGGGAGGGGAUGGUGGAAUUCCCAGUGUAGCGGUGAAAUGCGUAGAUAUUGGGAAGAACACCGGUGGCGAAGGCGGCCAUCUGGACCGGAACUGACGCUGAGGCGCGAAAGCCAGGGGAGCGAAUG